rnacentral:rRNA from 1 species
CCUACGGGGGGCUGCAGUGGGGAAUAUUGGACAAUGGGCGCAAGCCUGAUCCAGCAAUGCCGCGUGUGUGAAGAAGGCCUGCGGGUUGUAAAGCACUUUAAGCAGGAAAGAAGUGGUGGGAGUUAAUACCUUUCAUCAUUGACGUUACCUGCAGAAUAAGCACCGGCUAACUCCGUGCCAGCAGCCGCGGUAAUACGGAGGGUGCGAGCGUUACGCGGAAUUACUGGGCGUGGAUCGCGCGUUGGGUCGUGAAAGCCCCGGGCUUAACCUGGGAACUGCGGUGGAUACUGUCGGGCUAGAGUGUGGUAGAGGGGAGUGGAAUUUCCGGUGUAGCAGUGAAAUGCGUAGAGACCGGAAGGAACACCAGUGGCGAAGGCGGCUCCCUGGACUAACACUGACGCUGAGGUGCGAAAGCGUGGGGAGCAAACAGGAUUAGAUACCCCAGUAGUC